GCUAAACGCGAAGAACCUUACCAAGGCUUGACAUGCAUCUCUAAGCGCGUGAAAGCGCGUGACCCUUCGGGGAAUUUGCACAGGUGCUGCAUGGCCGUCGUCAGCUCGUGUCGUGAGAUGUUGGGUUAAGUCCCGCAACGAGCGCAACCCUUAUCUUUAGUUGCCAGCAUUCAGUUGGGCACUCUAGAGAGACUGCCGGUGACAAACCGGAGGAAGGUGGGGAUGACGUCAAAUCAUCAUGCCCCUUAUGUCUUGGGCUACACACGUGCUACAAUGGUUGGUACAAAGGGCAGCAAGCCAGCGAUGGUAAGCAAAUCCCAGAAAGCCAAUCUCAGUUCGGAUUGUAGGCUGCAACUCGCCUACAUGAAGUCGGAAUCGCUAGUAAUCGCAGAUCAGCAUGCUGCGGUGAAUACGUUCCCGGGUCUUGUACACACCG
rnacentral:rRNA from 1 species